UUGGACACCAAUGUGGUGCCACAGAGGCUGCCAUCAUGAUCAAUUUGGGGCCAUAAUGCUUCAGACUAGCGCCAGAUGAAACAGACAGCGUAGAAUGUAAAUAAAGCCUUAGACACACUACUGCUAAAGUUAGAGCAUCUGUAACAGUGAACAUAUGUAGAUUCCCCCAAAGACCUUGCUGGGGAAAGGUUGGAAAAUUGAGGGCACACAGAAACAUUGGCAUCAGAGCUUGUGGGGUAGCCCAGUUCUCACACUUUGGGAAGAAUGUAUGGACUGGAUUGUUUCUGCUUAUCUGGGAGUUUUAAAGGAUGCAGUGAAUGAAGAUAUUAGAAGAGAACUGUGUGAGUGUGACCAACUCAGAGUGUGACCAACCAUGAAGAUAUUGUGGAGUAGAAGAGAGCUAUGUAUUCCACCUUGAACUCAUUUCAGAAAUGUGAGGUAUAAAUGUAAUAAUAAAUAAGACUUAACUAAGUACUAGAUGCUCAAGACUGCAUUGAAUACAAUCAGGUUUCUGGCCCAGAUUCAGCCAUGGAAA